rnacentral:rRNA from 1 species
GACGAACGCUGGCGGCGCGCCUAACACACGCAAGUCGAACGAGCGAGCGAGAGCAUGCUUUCUCAAGCGAGUGGCGAACGGGUGAGUAACGCGUGAGGAACCUGCCUCAAAGAGGGGGACAACAGUUGGAAACGACUGCUAAUACCGCAUAAGCCCACAGGUCGGCAUCGACCAGAGGGAAAAGGAGCAAUCCGCUUUGAGAUGGCCUCGCGUCCGAUUAGCUAGUUGGUGAGGUAACGGCCCACCAAGGCAACGAUCGGUAGCCGGACUGAGAGGUUGAACGGCCACAUUGGGACUGAGACACGGCCCAGACUCCUACGGGAGGCAGCAGUGGGGAAUAUUGCACAAUGGGGGAAACCCUGAUGCAGCGACGCCGCGUGGAGGAAGAAGGUCUUCGGAUUGUAAACUCCUGUUGUUGAGGAAGAUAAUGACGGUACUCAACAAGGAAGUGACGGCUAACUACGUG